rnacentral:lncRNA from 1 species
GUAAGACCCUUGUGUGGUUUUAUCGAAUUUUGGACUUGGAGUGUUGGGGCGACUCCAAGGGCGGUCGCUGAGCUGGGCAGCGACCAGGCGCAGGUAGAGCGCAGGUAGGGCGCUGGUGGGCGACGGCGCCUGAAGGGUGGAAUUAACCCGGGCUGAUGGAUGCUUGGGGUAAAUUGUGGGAAUCUAAGUGCUAAAGAGUUGGAGUCUUGGGCUUAGUAAAUUGGGCAGGAUGCUCAGGCCAAGUGAGGGAUGCACUUGGGCCAAAGUUGGAGUUGCGUGCAUAGGCGCUCGGGCUGCGUCCUAUGGGCGUCUGGACACUAUUGCUAAGUGUUUGUGGGCUAAAUCAGAUGGACUUGAAGGCCCAAAUUGGUGGGUUAAUGUGGGCUGAGUUGGAUGGCUAAAAAGAAGGCUGAGUGGGGCAAAGAAACUGCUUGGAACUGCUCAUAACCGCUGGUAACUGCCACAACUGCUCUGCAUAGGCGCUGGAGCCCUUGGGCGCGCGGGAAACGCCUUGGGGGCGCCUGGAGUGUAUUUAAAAUAUUUAGAUAGGCAUUCUAAAUAUUGUGGAUGAUAGUACUUGGUGUACUAGGCUAUUUUACAAGUUCAAACGGACCUGCACUUGUAAUAUUUUGUAUGCUAGGCAGUAGGCAAGUCUGUAAGCAUAUAUUUGGGUUGUAUCCUUGAAUUGUUGGGGCAAUAAAAGGUUGGGCUAGUUUGCCUGUAUAUUGUUGUUGUGUGUUUACAUUUGCUUGGUAAUUAAACACACUUGCACACACGGGGUUGUGUUGGGGAAAGGCUGACUGUUCUUAGACUCGGAGGCGCUACGUGGACGCAACAGGGGCAUUUCGUGGACGCUCGUGGGCAUUCUGUGAGCGCUGUGUUAAGGGCAGGCCGCGCAGGGGCAAAAAGUUAAGGGUGAGAACUUACCCCUGUGACAACUGGUAUCAGAGCUGUGUUGUUAGAUUGUGGGAUAUCGAAUCAUGGCUGGUGGAAAUUCUCUGGGAGAAAGGGUUGCAAGGUUGGAGGAAUUCGUGGGAACUCCUGUGAACCCUGAUGAAAUUUGUUUGGCGAAUCAGAUUCAAGUUCUACGGACCGAACUUGCUGAGUUUAAGGAAAUGGUUGCGGGUGUCUCGGCUUCAAAUGAGAAUAAGUUUGUUGAUCUCUUUGCUACGGUUGCUGCUUCUUCUGAUGGCUUGAAGGAUCAAGUGAAGAAGUUGGGAGACGAACUUACAAUCAUGAAGGGGGCCGUGGCAAGCAACAUGUUUAGCAGUGCUAGGGAGGGGCACUCUAAGGUGAAAAUUCCAGAACCGAAGUCCUAUGGUGGCGCACGGGUUGCAAAGGAUCUGGAGAACUUUUUGUGGGACAUGGAGCAGUACUUCAAGGCUGCCCAUAUUGAUGAAAGGGAGCAAGUUUCAAUCACGAGUAUGUAUUUGGUUGGCGAUGCAAAAUUGUGGUGGCGGACUCGUACGGAUGGUGAUGCGAGUGUGGACAGGCCGGUGAUAACCACUUUUGAGGCAUUGUAGAAGGAAUGCCACUUAAUGCUUCUUGGCUUGCUAGAGAAAGUUUAAGGAAUCUCAAACAAACGGGAUCUGUUCGAGAUUAUGUGAAAGAAUUCAGUUCUUUGUUGUUGGAUAUAAAGAACAUGUCGGAUGAAGACAAGUUGUUCAAUUUCUUGGCCGGUCUAAAGCCUUGGGCGCAGGCAGAAUUGAGAAGGCAGGCUGUGAAAGACUUGCCAUCUGCUGUGGCUGCUGCUGAUAGUUUGGUGGACUACAAGCAGGCUGGUUCGGGUGACGCUGAAAGGGGUAAAAACAGUGGCAAGAAUCACAAGGAUGAGGGCAGGUUCAAGAAGAAGGACAAGGGAAAUGGCGCUGGGGACGCUAAGGAUGGGAAAUACGCUCCAAGGGAGGGCGACAAGGGUUGUUUCAUAUGUGACGGACCACAUUAUGCUAGGAACUGCCCAAGGAAGGAAAAAGUGAAUGCUCUACGUGUGGAGGAGCAGAAUGAGGAAAAUAAUAGUGAAAGCGAGGGGCCUAUGGUGAGGGCUAACAUCUUGCGUUUGGUAGUGCUAAGGACCGAAAAAUCCGUGGAGGGGGAUGGACUAAUGUAUGUCAAGGCCUUAGUGAAUGGGGUGGCUGCGAUGGCUUUGGUGGACACGGGUGCCACAAAUAGCUUCAUUUCGACGGACUGUGCAAAUGAGCUGGGGUUGAGUUUGGCGCCGAGUACAAAUCAGAUUAAGACGGCUAAUUCUGAGUUGCAAAGGAUUCGGGGCUGUUCAAGUGUGGACUUGACAAUCGGGGAUUGGAAAGGUAAGUUCAACUUUCAUGUUGUUGCCUUAGAUGAUUUUGACUGCAUUCUUGGUAUUGAUUUUAUGGUGAAGACCAAUACUGCUGUCAUGAUGCACCUUGGUGGUGUUAUGAUUUGGGACACGGGGUGUCCAUGUUUUGUGAAGGCUGUUCCGAAUAAGGUUGAUAAGGGUAAACAGAAGAUAAGCAAGUGUGGGGCUGUUCAGGUUCUUGUGGGCGACAUAAUCUGUGGGAUUGAGCCUAGGGUGGGCGAGUCACUUGAGCUUGAUAGUGUGCUUGAUGGUUUUCUGGUUGGACCCGAGUCAAUGUCUCCAAGGGUUGGGGACACAGCUGGGACUUAGACUAUUUUGAGGGGUAGUGUAGGUGGCGGGGCGCCUGCACUUAGUCAUCAGUGAGGCAUUGGUGACUUGGAUGUAAAAAGAAAAGUUGGGAACUUUGUAAGGUUAGCUGAGCUUAUGGUAGCUGAGUUUAUUGAGUAGCAAGGCAGCAGAUGGACUUGUAGCCUCGGGUUUGGGGUGUUGGUUUGCUACAUUUGGGAGACGGAUUUCUCAAGAUGGUUUUGGUUUUGAUGAGGACAUCAAACUCUCAGUGGUGGGAGGGUUUGUAAGACCCUUGUGUGGUUUUAUCGAAUUUUGGACUUGGAGUGUUGGGGCGACUCCAAGGGCGGUCGCUGAGCUGGGCAGCGACCAGGCGCAGGUAGAGCGCAGGUAGGGCGCUGGUGGGCGACGGCGCCUGAAGGGUGGAAUUAACCCGGGCUGAUGGAUGCUUGGGGUAAAUUGUGGGAAUUUAAGUGCUAAAGAGUUGGAGUCUUGGGCUUAGUAAAUUGGGCAGGAUGCUCAGGCCAAGUGAGGGAUGCACUUGGGCCAAAGUUGGAGUUGCGUGCAUAGGCGCUCGGGCUGCGUCCUAUGGGCGUCUGGACACUAUUGCUAAGUGUUUGUGGGCUAAAUCAGAUGGACUUGAAGGCCCAAAUUGGUGGGUUAAUGUGGGCUGAGUUGGAUGGCUAAAAAGAAGGCUGAGUGGGGCAAAGAAACUGCUUGGAACUGCUCAUAACCGCUGGUAACUGCCACAACUGCUCUGCAUAGGCGCUGGAGCCCUUGGGCGCGCGGGAAACGCCUUGGGGGCGCCUGGAGUGUAUUUAAAAUAUUUAGAUAGGCAUUCUAAAUAUUGUGGAUGAUAGUACUUGGUGUACUAGGCUAUUUUACAAGUUCAAACGGACCUGCACUUGUAAUAUUUUGUAUGCUAGGCAGUAGGCAAGUCUGUAAGCAUAUAUUUGGGUUGUAUCCUUGAAUUGUUGGGGCAAUAAAAGGUUGGGCUAGUUUGCCUGUAUAUUGUUGUUAUGUGUUUACAUUUGCUUGGUAAUUAAACACACUUGCACACACGGGGUUGUGUUGGGGAAAGGCUGACUGUUCUUAGACUCGGAGGCGCUACGUGGACGCAACAGGGGCAUUUCGUGGACGCUCGUGGGCAUUCUGUGAGCGCUGUGUUAAGGGCAGGCCGCGCAGGGGCAAAAAGUUAAGGGUGAGAACUUACCCCUGUGACAC